rnacentral:misc_RNA from 1 species
AAGAAAAUAAAGAAAGAAAGAAAGAAAGAGAAAUGAGCAUGGUUGUCAUCAUUUCUCUUCAAACUUCUUUCUUGAAAGCCUUAGGAUCGAAGGCAGAGAUGUUAAUCAUAUAAUAGGGGAAGUAUAUAUAAUCAUCUUCCUGUAAUUACACAGAGAGCAAUAGCUAGCAGCCCAGCACACACAUAGGAAGAGAGAGAGAGAG